rnacentral:rRNA from 1 species
UACGUAGGGUGCAAGCGUUAAUCGGAAUUACUGGGCGUAAAGCGUGCGCAGGCGGUUGUGCAAGACAGAUGUGAAAUCCCCGGGCUCAACCUGGGAAUUGCAUUUGUGACUGCACGGCUAGAGCGUGUCAGAGGGGGGGUAGAAUUCCACGUGUAGCAGUGAAAUGCGUAGAGAUGUGGAGGAAUACCGAUGGCGAAGGCAGCCCCCCUGGGAUAACACUGACGCUGCAUGCACGG